CCAAGUCUAUCUAAACUAAAAUCCUUUUCAGUUCCUAUCUCAGCCUCCUCUCGCCUCUCCCAGUCUCUCGCCCCUCUCAUCUCUCAUCCCAAAUCCCAAAUCCCAAAUCCCUUAGCCUCUCGCCUCUCGCCUCUCGCCUCUCGCCUCUUCGCCUCUCUCUUCUCUCCGCCUCUCUCGCCUCUCCGCCUCUUUCAUCUCAGUCGUUGAACGGGCUCUUUCAUCUCAGCCGCUGAACGGGAAGCACUCUAGAUCUGAUCCAGUUCUGGAAGAACUCUUAGAUCUGAUCCAGUUCAAUUUCUUGUUUUCGUUGUGUUUUUUUUUAUCUGAUCCAGUUCUAUGAUUUCGUUGUGGUGUUUUGAAAUUGAAUUGCCAUUAAUAAUUUGGUUUGGUUUGGUUUGGUUGGUUGUUCCGUUUUAGAUCAGAAUCUGUGUACGGGAAAUUGAAAGAUUAUAUCUGUGGCUUUGUUUUUUCUAAUCUAUGUUAAAUCUGUGGCUUUGUUUUUUCUUUUUCUGGUAAUGAUAUUUUUAUGCUGAUAAUAUGUUGUAUAUAUUAUAUUAUUUUCAUUUCGGUUAUUAACCGAAUAAUAAAUUCGGUAAUUCGGUUAUCUACUAUUUCGGUUAUCAGUUCGGAUAUUAGAAAUGUGUUAUUUUCGGUUUUCGGUUAUAACCGAAUAAGCUAUUCGGUUCGGUUAUAACCGAAUGCUCACCCUAGAACACAGUCUCUGAUCUCUAACAUUACUGCGUAACAAAAUUACUGUGUUUUAUUAAUUAUUUUAUCGGUCCAAACUCCAAACUCACUUCUCUAAAAACUAACGGAUGAUUCAUUGUCAAUUCAUAAACUCCGACGAGAAGAAAUUUCCGGCGAUAUGCGAGAUAUUUAGCCACCGAUUACAUGGUCUCAGCAUUUUCUGCCCAACUAGUUUUCUCUGGCUCUAUUCGUGCUUUCCAGGUCGCUCCUUCUUCUUCUAGGUAUUUAUUUAACCAGCUAUUAGUUGGAGCUGCUACUUAUUUUAAUUCUACUCUUUUAAGCAUUAUGUAGAACAAAAACAACAAUCUCAAUUAUGCCUUAAAAAAUGUGAAUAGAGAAUAAUUUUAUAACUUUAUAUGAUGUGCUAAUAAAAGAAAUUAAGCUUAUUUCUAGAUGAAGAACACUUUAUAUGAUGUGCUUUUUUGAGAUUAGAGUCGAAAAAAUUUGGGGAAUUUUCAAAAAUAAUUUUCAGAUAGGGACUGAUAAAAGUUUUUAAGAUUCAGUUAUACAUGGUUAUAACAUUGAAUCAACUCUAGCUCAAGUGCCAUCUUACAAUUGGGUAUAAAAAAGCCUUUUGUACUUGGUAUCUCUCUUUGCACAAUGUAACUUUUUUUUUUCUUUGUGGG
rnacentral:lncRNA from 1 species